AGCUCCAAUAGCGUAUAUUAAAAUGGUUGCGAUUGAAAAGCUCGCAGUUGGAUUUCUGCCGAGUACGACCGGUCCGCCCUCGGGGUGAGUAUCUGGCUUGGCUUGGGCAUCUUCUUGGGGAACGUAGCUGCACUUGACUGUGUGGUGCGAUAUCCAAGACUUUUACUUUGAGGAAAUUAAGAUGUUUCAAGCAGGCACGCGCCUUGAAUACAUUGGCAUGGAAUAAUAAGGUAGGACCUUGGUUCUAUUUUGUUGGUUUCUAGAGCUGAGGUAUGAUUAAAAGGGAUACUUGGGAGCAUUCGUAUUUAAUUGUCAGAGGUGAAAUUCUUAGAUUUGUUAAAGACGGACUACUGCGAAAGUAUUCGCCAAGGAGGUUU
rnacentral:rRNA from 1 species